rnacentral:rRNA from 1 species
ACGGGGCGCAGCAGGCGCGAAACCUCCACAAUGUACGAGAGUGCGAUGGGGGGAUCCCAAGUGCUAUUCUUAACGGGAUAGCUUUUCUUAAGUGUAAAAAGCUUUUGGAAUAAGAGCUGGGCAAGACCGGUGCCAGCCGCCGCGGUAAU